GGGAGGAUGGCCGAGCGGUUAUGGCGUGUGACUCAAGAGCUUAACUUGAAGUUCUUGGCUUCUGCCUUCAAGGAGCCUGUAUUCUCAUAGGGAAACCUGCGUGGGUUCGAGUCCCACUCCUCUCA
rfam:Fonsecaea multimorphosa CBS 102226 unplaced genomic scaffold supercont1.7, whole genome shotgun sequence.